GACGAACGCUGGCGGCGUGCAUAACACAUGCAAGUCGUACGGUAAGGCCCUUUCGGGGGUACACGAGUGGCGAACGGGUGAGUAACACGUGAGUAACCUGCCCACAACUUUGGGAUAACGCUAGGAAACUGGUGCUAAUACUGGAUAUGUGCUCCUGCUGCAUGGUGGGGGUUGGAAAGCUCCGGCGGUUGUGGAUGGACUCGCGGCCUAUCAGCUUGUUGGUGGGGUAGUGGCCUACCAAGGCGGCGACGGGUAGCCGGCCUGAGAGGGUGACCGGCCACAUUGGGACUGAGAUACGGCCCAGACUCCUACGGGAGGCAGCAGUGGGGAAUAUUGCACAAUGGGCGCAAGCCUGAUGCAGCAACGCCGCGUGCGGGAUGACGGCCUUCGGGUUGUAAACCGCUUUCAGCAGGGACGAAGCUUUUUGUGACGGUACCUGCAGAAGAAGCACCGGCUAACUACGUG
rnacentral:rRNA from 1 species